CUUGAGUUUUCAUUUGAACAUUCAUAAAGACAUGAAGGUAAUAAAUUGAGAGGGAGCAACUAAAAUGACUAGAAGUUUCCAACAUCACAUUAAGGGGAAGAUUAAAUAUUUUGCAAACCUCUUAUAAAACGAAAGAAAUUUAGUUAAAUGUUUUAAUGAUUAUAAAAUUUAGUGGUAUCAAGCUUAAAUGUUUGAAUUUAGUGGUAUCAUGCUUC
rnacentral:lncRNA from 1 species